ensembl:snRNA U6 U6 spliceosomal RNA
GUGCUCACUUUGGCAGCACAUAUACUAAAAUUGGCACGAUACAGAGAAGAUUAACACGGCCCCUGAGCAAGGAUGACAUGCAAAUUUGUGAAGUGUUCCAUAUUUUU